rnacentral:miRNA from 1 species
CUUACUCCCUCAGGCACAUC